rnacentral:rRNA from 1 species
GACGAACGCUGGCGGCGUGCCUAACACAUGCAAGUCGAGCGAAUGAAGUUCCUUCGGGCAUGGCUUUAGCGGCGGACGGGUGAGUAACACGUGGGCAACCUGCCUCAUUGAGGGGAAUAGCCUUCCGAAAGGGAGAUUAAUACCGCAUAAGAUUGUAGUAUCGCAUGAUACAGCAAUUAAAGGAGCAAUCCGCUAUGAGAUGGGCCCGCGGCGCAUUAGCUAGUUGGCGAGGUAACGGCUCACCAAGGCGACGAUGCGUAGCCGACCUGAGAGGGUGAUCGGCCACAUUGGGACUGAGACACGGCCCAGACUCCUACGGGAAGCAGCAGUGGGGAAUAGUGCACAAUGGGGGAAACCCUGAUGCAGCAACGCCGCGUGAGUGAUGACGGCCUUCAGGUUGUAAAGCGCUGGCUUCAGUGACGAUAAUGACGGUACCUGAGGAGGAAGCCAUGGCUAACUACGUG